rnacentral:lncRNA from 1 species
UUCUAUAAACCAACUAACAAAUGUUGUUUUGUUGGGUAGUGUUGGAAGUAUGCCCACAAAGCCACUCAUUUGAUGUAAUAGCUUUUGGAAUACUUAUUGUGUUAAACUUUUUAUAUGUUUAAUGAAGGGCAAAGCUUAUUGUUAAUCACUAUUUAUUGUAUCAUGUGUUUAAGCAAUAAGGGAAUCCAAGGAAUGUAUUUGUUCUAAGAGAGAAGUGAUCUAAUGAGUUAGAUUAUCGAGACCUCUCUCUUAUGUUCAUUCCUAAAACGUUCCUAGCCAUAGGAUUGCCAAUUGGGCAUUUACAAUCCGCUAAGGUUAGUAUGUGUUAUGUUGACUCAAACGUGAGUAUGAACUAGUCUCAAGUCAUUUGGUGUUGGACACUGAGACAAACACAUAGGUGCUCGAAAGAGUAAUCGAGUACACUGAACGUCGAUCAAAAGAGAGUUCGAACAUACAUGUCAUGUAUGAACUCUAAAGUUGCAAUAUGCAAAGUAGUCCUUUGACCUGAGGCAUCAUAGAUGUCUAAUGGUUAGGUCAUUGAUCUUUGAUCAUGUCAAUGGCAUUCCUUCGGAUUGUCCACGGCAUUGUUGGGGUCAAGCUAUCUAGUCAUGUAGGCAUAUGAAUGCACAACAAGGGAUCUCUAACCUUCCAUGGUGGAAGGAGAAUACUCUAAGAUAUGAUUCUAAAGUCUUUGGCCAAAGCAUAUGAAUAUGACUUAGGAAGUUUGUUCCAAAUCAUAUUCAAAGGAGUCAUAUAGGAAAGUAUCACAUUGGAUAGUAGACAUGAAACAAAACUAUCACUUAAACAAUGUGAUUAAGAGUAUUGUAUUAGAGAAGGACCGUAUUGCAUUGUAGUUGUAACUGGAUAGGUUCUCCAACCAAUUCUACUUAGCUUGGGUAACCAUGAUAUGCUGCUAGGUGUCACUCAUGGUUUGUGGAAGCCCUGAAGAUUAGCAAACACUAAUCUUAAGGGAGAAUUGAAAUGUGGUUUCAAUUCACAAUCGAUCGUUAAGAGUAACAUCGCCCACUGCCUCGCUAAUUGGAACCUAAUGGAUCGCACACCACAUAAGGAUGUUAGUGAAGAAAUUAUAUGAAAUGGAUAAGCAAUUAAAUGGUUUAAUUGAAGAAUGGUCAAGAUUAAUUAAUUAGUUAAUUAAUUAUACGAAAAGUUCGUAUUGGGCUUAUAAGUUGGUUUUGGGUUUCGGGGCCCAAAAGUGUUUUGGUCCACAAGGCCCAUUAUGUUUAAGUUGUAAGACAACUAAAACAAAAUGGGCAAAUUAGCCCAAUAACAAGGAGAGGCCGGCCAUUAGGGUGAAUGGGCAAGCUUGCUUAAUUACAAGUUUGCCACUCACCAAAGAAAAUGUUAUAAAAGCAACUUUAUAGCAAUUUUCUCAUUAGGGUUUUCUAAUAGAAAUUGGGUGAAACAUUUUCUCUCCUUUUCUACAUAGAGGCCGGCCACUUAGAGGAUUUUUACUAGCAUCUAAAAUCUCUCUAAGUCAUCCAUAUCAUCUUCACAAUAUACAACCUUGGUGAAGAGACUUAGAGACAUCAAGCUUUUGAUGUUUUUGGAGAACAAAUCCUUUUUCCUCUAAUCAUCAAAGGAGCACUAAAGGGAGGAAAACACAAGGAGGAUUCAAGGAGCUUGGAGGUGACUUGAAGGCCCUCCACUUGGGUGAAUCCCUUGUGUAAACAAGGAUGAGCUUCAAGGGUAAAGUGACACACCCCAAUUUUGGUUUUGCGCCCCUCCAGGUUCAGGAAUCACAAAGGUGUGGUGACUACGAGGAAUUCGACGGUGUUCUGACAGAUUGGACAAAAUUAGGACUCACCUUCGGGUGUAUCAAUUUAAAUUGUAUCUUAAAGCUUCCGUACUGUGCAAAUGGUUACGUCACUCUCACGUGACGGCCAGCAUGCCCUCCUUCGGGACGGGGUGUGUCAGUUGGUAUCAGAGCAUGGUUGCAAUCUUGGACAUCUUGAGAAGUUUCUAGUGAAUUCUGUCAGAACUACACCGCCUCGUAGCAAGCCACUUAGUUAGAGGAAUUUAGUCUCCCUAAUAUAGCGGUUUAGGGGAAACUAUUAUUAUGGUGAUUCAGUCUAUUAUAAAAAGGGACAUUUUAAGACGGGUUAUGAGUUGAAUUUGAAUCACCUUAUGAAAUGAUGAACCUGAGGGAACGAAGUAACGGUUUAACCAUUUGGAAAAGAUGUUUCAGAUUAUGCAAGUCAAAGGAAAUUUCCUUCUGACAAGGGGUCGAGACGACUACCUGGUUUUGGUUAUGAAUUUGUAUCCUGGUGGAAACAGAAGUAUGAAUUGUUGUCACCAGAGGAAUCAGUCGAUUGAGAAUUGUUUAAGGACUUGUUUAAAGGAAAAGUUUAUCCCUCCGGCAUUUAUCGAUGGUAGUAAACAAGAGUUUACAAAUAUGAGACAAGGAAGGUGAUGAUCGAGGGAUAUUAUAGAAAGUUUUCAGACUUGCCUCGUUCCAUCCAGAUAUUGUUGUUAAUUUGGUGGAGGUGUUAUGUUGUUUUAAGCUGGGUGGCAAAAAGGGAAGUGGUAUUUUGGGUGACCACUAUCCAUUGUACUUCUUACCAGGAGUAUACAAGAUGUUGUUGAGCCUUGAGGACUCUGAGAACAUGAGCAACGAGAAUAAAGAAGAAUAAGAAAAGAAUGGGAAUUAAAAGAAGACGAUAAAGUUAAUGAUUCGUCAUAUCAAGGAUAUAGAAAGAUUCAGAGCUUCGAAAGAAGUGAAGCUAGAGUUAAUUCUUCCAGCUGAGGUUUUAAUGUCGCUGGUCAGAAUAAAAGUGAUGGAUAUACUGGUAAUCCCAGAUAUUUGAGACAAGGUGUCUCGAGUAAAGGAAAUGUACCUUGUGCUGCAGGUACAAAAAUUAACACUUUGGAAAGUGUGAAAUUAAUGAAUGUGUUUAUGUGAACAGAGGGGACACAGAAUUGUGAAUCGUCCCUAGAAUCAGUUGUACUCAACAAUUUUCCAUGAUAUCAUAGUGUCGAUUCAGCAGAGUUAUGGACUUAGUAGUUUGGUCGGAUUGACCGUGGGUACAGAGAGAUUUGAUGAGUUAUAUGUUCAGCUGUACAGACCAUGAGAGGUGGAUCUGGCUGACGCAUGCGAAAUUUGUGAGUUAUAGGCUCGGCCGUACCGACCACGCGGAGUGGAUCCGGCCGACGUAUUAUUGAGAUAAGAGUUGAAUCAACCGUAUUGGUCAUUCUAGUUGACUUCGGCUGAUAUAUUUCUUAUUAUGUAUGAAUUGGUGCGGUGGACGCACAGGUAAGAAUUGAUUUAUGAUGCAUAUGUAUGAAUUGGUGCGGUGGACGCACAGGUAAGAAUUGAUUUAUGAUGCAUAUGUAUGAAUUGGUGCGGUGGACGCACAUGUAAGAAUUGAUUUAUGAUGCAUAUGUAUGAAAUGGUGCGGUGGACGCACAGAUGAGUAUUUAAUUACUGUUAUGAUGAUGAUGAUAUAUAUUGAGCUCAAAUCCUGCACCAUGGUUUAGUGCUUAUAGUAUUCACCGCAUCGCACGCUCGCCUUGGAUCCAAGUAGAUGCUAGUCGUACAGUCCACGCGGAGUGGGUACGACAGACCAGUCGCGAGAGUGUUAGUGAGAUUCCGACUGGUGGGUGACCUUAGAUUAUGUGCACAGAUGAUUUAUGAGAAGCACUAGAGCGUAACUUGCGUGCAGAAGGCCGGACGGGUCACAGAGGUGACUCCGGUAGAGUGAUAAUGAUAGAUUUUGAGCUCUAGGUUCAACCGUAUAGGGCUAUUAGAGGGCCUACGGUUGAUUACUUUCUUGCACCUGAUAUGAUUAUGUUGAUGCAUUCAUACCUUAUUACUGUUGAGAUGAUGUGGCAUGGCAUAAUUAAUAUGAGAAAUGUUGAGAUGACAUGGCAUGGCAUGAUUGAUAAAGAGAUAAUGUUGAGAUAGUAAAAAUGAAGUUUUGAGAAUAUAUAUGUAUAUUUAUAUUUUACAUUUCUGGGAAAGUAUACAGGUUUUACGGAGAGGGGUUACAACGUUUUGAAAAAUGUUUGGAUUUGGAAAAGAAUUGUUUUACUGACCCACUCAAUUUUGGUUUUGCGCCCCUCCAGGUUCAGGAAUCACAAAGGUGUGGUGACUACGAGGAAUUCGACGGUGUUCUGACAGAUUGGACAAAAUUAGGACUCACCUUCGGGUGUAUCAAUUUAAAUUGUAUCUUAAAGCUUCCGUACUGUGCAAAUGGUUACGUCACUCUCACGUGACGGCCAGCAUGCCCUCCUUCGGGACGGGGUGUGUCAUAAAGAAUCACUAAAUCUUUACUUCUCUUUAAUUUUGUUAAAGAGUUUAUUUUGGUUCACCAUAUACUAGGCUUUGAAAGUCAUGGGUUUUAUGAAUUGUUUUUGGAUGCAUGCCUACUUUAAAGUGUUGAUAGCUUGCAUGUGUAUUCAAAUGUUCAUACUUGUUCUUAGCUAGGACAAAUUUUUCCUUCAGGUAGUUCAUUGUAAUCCUACAAUGUGAUUUGCCUAAAAGCGAAUAAACGAGAGAUAGAACUCAAAGAAUGGGUUCUUUGAGAGACAAGAAAGUAAUCAACAAAUAUAAACAACCUAGUUCCUAUAUCAAAAGCUCCAAGGUAGUCGAUAAGGAUUUAUAAACCGUCUCAGUUAAAUGGUUUGAACUUUAUGACUAUGUCAUAGAGUUGCACCUCUUAAUUCGAAAGAAAUAAGAAUGAAAAUCCUUAUGACUACAUUGAGUGUAUAUAUGAUAUAUACUCAAGGAAAUGGUAAAGUACCAUUUAACCCGAAAUAAUGAAACCUUCAUAAGCUAA